rnacentral:lncRNA from 1 species
AUGAGAAGCAAAAUAAUUGCCUUGGACCUCCAAGUCAUGAAGAAUGGGUCUAAAAUUCUUAGACAGUCUAAAUAGAAUCCUUUAUUAUUUUUUCUCAAUUUUAUCUUCUCCAAAGAGGAGACAAUAGCAAUGCCCUUACUACAUAGACUGUUACAACCUUUAAAUGAGGUAGUUCAAGUAAACAUUUGGUAAAAUUUCAGGCAUAUAGUAAGUGCUUGGUAAAUGUUAAUUAUUGUUUAUCUUUUUUUCCUACAAAAAUGCAGAACUUAAUGAAGAUUUUAUAAAUAAAAGAACAGACCCUAGGGAAAAUGGUGAUACUUGUGUCUCACCCAGGAAACAUCUACAGCAAGCUACUCCUUAGACAUUCCAAUCUUCAGCCAAAGCCUCAGAGAUAGAGCGCACAAGCAAGGUGGGGGGAAAGGGAGAGAGAAGGAAAGAAUCAUCCAAGAUCAUGACCUCAGUGAGUAGAAAUCAAAUCAAGAGUUGGAAGCUUAAUCGACUGAGCCACCCAGGCACCCCAACUUUUCUUUUCUUUUAAUUCCAGU